rnacentral:lncRNA from 1 species
CACCAACCAAACUUUUGUUGUGAAAAGGAGUAUUUCUGGCAAGUUCAGACUGUGACUUUGACUUAGUUUAACUGCAAGCUUCUGCAUGACUCUUUCUUCUAGGAGCACAAGAUUCACUUUUUACUUUUUUAGUGUGUGGUGAGCCUUUUUUUUUUUCUACUGAAACUGUAGGCACAAAAUGCCUAAAGGAUUUUACUCGAAGUCCUUUAUGAGCAUUAUGAUAUCAUCAAUUGAUAGUUUCUUAUCUUGAAAAAAAAAAAAAGUAUAGAAAUAUAGUUGCUGUUAAAUAAUUGAAAUUGCAAUAUGAUACUUUGAGGAAUAA